rnacentral:rRNA from 1 species
AAACUCAAAGGAAUUGGACGGGGGCCCGCACAAGCGGCGGAGCAUGCGGAUUAAUUCGAUGCAACGCGAAGAACCUUACCAAGGCUUGACAUGAACCGGUAAUACCUGGAAACAGGUGCCCCGCUUGCGGUCGGUUUACAGGUGGUGCAUGGUUGUCGUCAGCUCGUGUCGUGAGAUGUUGGGUUAAGUCCCGCAACGAGCGCAACCCUCGUUCUAUGUUGCCAGCGGUUCGGCCGGGGACUCAUAGGAGACUGCCGGGGUCAACUCGGAGGAAGGUGGGGACGACGUCAAAUCAUCAUGCCCCUUAUGUCUUGGGCUUCACGCAUGCUACAAUGGCCGGUACAAAGGGUUGCGAUACUGUGAGGUGGAGCUAAUCCCAAAAAGCCGGUCUCAGUUCGGAUUGGGGUCUGCAACUCGACCCCAUGAAGUCGGAGUCGCUAGUAAUCGCAGAUCAGCAACGCUGCGGUGAAUACGUUCCCGGGCCUUGUACACACCGCCCGUCAAGUCACGAAAGUUGGUAACACCCGAAGCCGGUGGCCUAACCCUUGUGGGGUAGCCGUCGAAGGUGGGACCGGCGAUUGGGGAAUAAGUCGUUAACCAAAAA